AUGUGCUCGCUGCAGGAUGACAACCACAACACUCCAGAACCACCCCCCUCCAAGGAGGCGGGGUUACGCCAUCAGCCAAUCGGAGCCCGCGAUCCCGGGUGUCCAACCUAUGGGGUGGCCGUGGCCGUGCAGGGGGAGGACAUGGGGUGGUCCGGGAGGGGCCGCGUCCGUGGGAGGAGUGCACGUGUCCAGAGAGGCUGGGAACCCGCUGGCGUCCAGCUGCCGAGGCGCCCGCCCGGUGUCCGAGUCCAGCUGCCCAGUGCCGUCUUGGACUGGGCAAGGCAGGCGAUCGUCCACCGAGGAAGACCUGUCCAUGUGUCCAGUUCCCGGCGAGAGGGACAGACACAAAUAACAACAAUAGUACCUCGCGCAGACCGGGCGGGGAGGAAAGUUUCUGGCCCGCGCCAGAGUGGAGACAGCCAAAGGCAGGGAGAUGCUAUGCAAGACAGGAGGGUGACACAGUGGGAAGAAGGGGGACAACCGGAGGGCUGCGCGGGCAGGACAGGGUCCAGGGUGCGGUCCCCGGGAGGCGAACCGCGCGGGAUGCGCUGUCCAAGGUGCAAGGGAGGCGGUUGGUGCGUGGCAGGCGCGGAGCCCGAGCGGACACUAGCCCGCCAGAGGCAAAAAGAGCGGAGAACAGCUGUGCGGGGCGCCGGACACCCCCAGCUCGUAAAAGUGCGGGAGCCCGGGGAGCGGCGGCGAAGGGCGCAGGGGGCUCCCCCGCACCGCUGCCUUCCAGCCUCACCUCCAGCUCUGCUCCCCUCCCCCCUCGCCCACUCCUCUCGGUGCCUUGUCCCCGGGCCGCGGCGGGGGCGGGACCGGGAGCCCCCCACCCCCGGACUGCGAGUCCCGACGCCCCAGGGAUGCUGCGGGCCGCGGAGCCGCUUACCUGGGGCCACGGUGCGGAGAUUCAAGACAAGCGAGCGCGGGGCGCGGCGCGGCUCCUCCUCGCCUCGGCGUCUCCUCCGGAUCCCGCUUCUGCCGGACUCCGUCCGGGGCUGAGAGCAGCCAGACGGGGCCAGACUGCGGCCGCCGCUCGCGCCGCCGCCGCUGCCGCAGACAGAGGACGCCCCGUGGCGGCUGGAAGCCUGUCAAGCAAAUAUCCUAAGGACUGUGGAAAAUGCACAUAGCCUUUGCCUUCAAAGAACAUAUGACCAUAAUGGUAUUGUGCAUGUUUAUAUAUGGGAAAACACAUUUGAUACUGUCCAUGAAGAUUUCA
rnacentral:lncRNA from 1 species